ACGAAAUUGAAUUAAAAUUUUUAGUAAUUAGCUUAUUUCACAAAAAUUUAUCAAAAUUCUUUUUUUACAAUGCCCAAAUCUCUUGAAAGGAAUUGCAAUUUCUAAAAUAAGUUGCAGAUCUUGAGUGCCAUAACACAGUGAAAUUGUUUAGUUAAAUUGUAGAAACUAAUUGCAGAGUAGUUACUCGCUCAUAUCAAAAUUUUUUGACAGCAAAAUGCGUGAAGGAAAAAAAAUUGCGUAAAAAUUGCCACGUCUGAAGGCAUCUUUGGUUUGUAGAGGAAGUUGCAAUGAAGUUGUAUGGUGCAACCUUGUGGCAAAGUUACAAAAAUUAUUUGAAAUUAAAAUAAUAGUAAUAAGUUAAUAUAAAUGAUGUAACAACAAAUAAGGCAAUAAGGUGGCAGCAGAGUGGAAUCAUGGCCCGCACACCACACAUCCAAUGUAAAUUGAGGAAUUGGAAGUUAGGAAUGUUGAAACCAAAUAAUUGAAAAUUUUCACAUUUUUUGUGCUCUGCAAGCUGAGUUUGAAUUCCAUUAAUUUAGCUGCAAACCAUUGUGAAUAAAGGUUGUUGCUACUAACACAACACGAUAAUACAUUCUUAAGCUUCCAUAAGCGAUGAAGAUGCUCUAAAUGAAAUGUGAGCUGCAUUUAAAUGAAAUACACAAGCUCUUGUUAAAUUUCAUUUAAAAUGAAUCCAAAUAUUCAGCUUACCGGAAAAAGUACGGAAAAAUAUUAUCAAACUCAUUUUCGCAUUUCACUCGUCGUUCCUGAAACUCUAUGCGACAAAUUAUUGCAAAGCAAGCUAUGGAACAUAUAGACAUAGAACAUUGUGGCAUUGUAAUUAUUUUUGAUUAUAGUAAAUUAAAAAUGCCAUAAAA